UACAGAGGGGGCAAGCGUUAUUCGGAAUUAUUGGGCGUAAAGGGCGCGUAGGCGGUCGUGCAAGUGGAAGGUGAAAUCCCUCGGCUCAACCGAGGAACUGCCUUUCAAACUGCAUGGCUUGAGUCCGGGAGAGGUGAGUGGAAUUCCCAGUGUAGCGGUGAAAUGCGUAGAUAUUGGGAGGAACACCAGUGGCGAAGGCGGCUCACUGGACCGGAACUGACGCUGAGAAGCGAAAGCAUGGGGAGCGAACAGG
rnacentral:rRNA from 1 species